rnacentral:tRNA from 1 species
GGAGAGGUGUCCGAGCGGUCUAUGGUGCGGUUCUCGAAAAGCCGUGGGCCGAAAGGCCCCGUGGGUUCGAAUCCCACCCUCUCCGCCA